GGCAGCCGCGGUAAUUCCAGCUCCAAUAGCGUAUAUUAAAGUUGCUGCAGUUAAAAAGCUCGUAGUUGAAUUUCGGGACUAAUAUGUCGGUCGUGCCUUGGUACGUACUGGUAUUUUUGGUUUCUCCCUUCUGACGAACCUUGAUGUCAUUAAUUUGGUGUCUUGGGAAAUCAGGACUGUUACUUUGAAAAAAUUUAGAGUGUUUAAAGCAGGCUCACGCUUGAAUACAUUAGCGUGGAAUAAUGAAAUAGGACGUUUGAUUCUAUUUUGUUGGUUUCUAGGAUCGACGUAAUGAUUAAUAGGGAUAGUUGGGGGCAUUAGUAUUCAAUUGUCAGAGGUGAAAUUCUUGGAUUUAUUGAAGACUAACUACUGCGAAAGCAUUUGCCAAGGAUGUUUUCAUUAAUCAGGAACGAAAGUUAGGGGAUCGAAGACGAUCAGAUACCGUCGUAGUCUUAACCAUAAACUAUGCCGACUAGGGAUCGGAUGAUGUUAAUUUUUUUAAUGACUCAUUCGGCGCCUU
rnacentral:misc_RNA from 1 species